rnacentral:tRNA from 1 species
UGGCUGAGUUAAGCUGCAGAUUUUUGAUCUGCCUACGGGAUAUUUAAUUUCCCU